rnacentral:rRNA from 1 species
GGACGAAGCGAGAGUGACGGUACCUGCAGAAGAAGGACCGGCCAACUACGUGCCAGCAGCCGCGGUAAUACGUAGGGUCCGAGCGUUGUCCGGAAUUAUUGGGCGUAAAGGGCUCGUAGGCGGUUCGUCACGUCGGGAGUGAAAACUCGGAGCUCAACUCCGAGCCUGCUUCCGAUACGGGCAGACUAGAGGUAGGCAGGGGAGAGCGGAACUCCUGGUGUAGCGGUGGAAUGCGCAGAUAUCAGGAAGAACACCGGUGGCGAAGGCGGCUCUCUGGGCCUUACCUGACGCUGAGGAGCGAAAGCGUGGGUAGCGAACAGGAUUAGAUACCCUGGUAGUCCACGCCGUAAACGUUGGGCGCUAGGUGUGGGGGACAUUCCACGUCCUCCGUGCCGCAGCUAACGCAUUAAGCGCCCCGCCUGGGGAGUACGGCCGCAAGGCUAAAACUCAAAGGAAUUGACGGGGGCCCGCACAAGCGGCGGAGCAUGCGGAUUAAUUCGAUGCAACGCGAAGAACCUUACCUGGGUUUGACAUAUAGGGAAAUCCUCCAGAGAUGGGGGGUCCGUAAGGGUCCUAUACAGGUGGUG